AUUGAACGCUGGCGGCAGGCCUAACACAUGCAAGUCGAGCGGAUGAAGGGAGCUUGCUCCUGGAUUCAGCGGCGGACGGGUGAGUAAUGCCUAGGAAUCUGCCUGGUAGUGGGGGAUAACGUCCGGAAACGGGCGCUAAUACCGCAUACGUCCUGAGGGAGAAAGUGGGGGAUCUUCGGACCUCACGCUAUCAGAUGAGCCUAGGUCGGAUUAGCUAGUUGGUGGGGUAAAGGCCUACCAAGGCGACGAUCCGUAACUGGUCUGAGAGGAUGAUCAGUCACACUGGAACUGAGACACGGUCCAGACUUCUACGGGAGGCAGCAGUGGGGAAUAUUGGACAAUGGGCGAAAGCCUGAUCCAGCCAUGCCGCGUGUGUGAAGAAGGUCUUCGGAUUGUAAAGCACUUUAAGUUGGGAGGAAGGGCAGUAAGUUAAUACCUUGCUGUUUUGACGUUACCAACAGAAUAAGCACCGGCUAACUUCGU
rnacentral:rRNA from 1 species